rnacentral:piRNA from 1 species
UGUGCGUCACAGCCUCUACAACCAUUCUCU